rnacentral:lncRNA from 1 species
GACAUCAUGUUAGCAACUCAAAGAAACAACUAAAAAGAAAAAAAAAUUAAAAAAAGAGGAAAAAUUACAUUUUUUAUCUUAUACCUCAGAUAUUUUGUUCUGUGUAUUUUAAUAUUGUGGGUCUUUGGUUUCUGAAGGUUUUUGUAGUUCAGUUGGCUGUAGGAGUUUUUGUGGUUGAUCUAGAGAGAGGCUAGAUAUGAAUAAAAACUGAUUUAGGGCCAUAUCCAGAGUGCUAUAUUAUGUAAAUGAAUUCUAUAUGCCGAACAUGAAGCUACUGGGGUUAAGCUGUUUGGGAAGACUGGAAACGGCAAGUCAUUCUUUCUGCAUCCACAUUAUUUUAUUCUGUGAAAGGGGAGGCUGGGGCGGGCUUAGGGGUUUGGCUGAAAGGAAAAAAAGAAAAUAUAUAUAUAUAUAUAUAUAUACAUAUAUAUAGUAACUGAUGAAUCUAAAUGACCCACUGCACCAACUAUCAUAAAUCUAUGGUUCUAAGUUACUCCUGGCAAAGUCAAGCCAAAGGCUGUGUUAAGAAUCCGCUUCUCAUAGCACGGAGAUUGCAGUUGAAGGAAGGAAGCUGUGUCGGCCAGUCCACCCUCUUAUCAUUCCACCUGCAGUACUCAGCUUCUUACCUACCCACUAGUUAUUUAAGCAAAGGCUACUAGUUAGGCCAUCAGUAAGCAUUCUUUUUAUAUUUCUUCCAGUAUGAGAAAUUAUUGAUAUCACUGCUGACUUUUAUAUUACGGGAGGGAAAAAUUAACAUUAAUAAAAAGGUGAUUAAAAAAAGCACUGUUUCUAUUUUUUUCUUUUUUUCCAAAAAAGAAAGUAAUAAAAACUUAAAUUCUUUGUACCAGUUAAAAAUAUGUAUAAAAUUUACAUCUGUGCAGUGGAGUUAUGUUCUAGAACAGUCUCUGAGGCUUUAGUUUAGCUUAGUAGAUUAACUGUUAGAGACAGACGUAUAAUUUUUAUGGAAUUACAUGAUAAUCAUAUCUGGAUUUAUAGUCGCAUUUUACAAGUAUCGCAAUCAUUGAAUAGAGAUAAUCAUGGUAUUUUCAUCAGCUUGAUACUUUUUGAAAACAUGACUGCGCUGUGAGCAACUUGCAAUUUUUCAGUCUGUGAGAGCCCGCCCUUCCCUCUCCCCAGUGCCCCAGGGUUAUCAUAAACUGGUAUCUUUAUUUCUAUCACCAAGGCCCAACAAUUGUCAGAAGGAAGCAAACACAAGACAAAAAACAAGAACUAGAACUAUCCCCUCCACCCCCAAAGAACAAGAUCUGCCCCAUCCUUUUUCGGAGCAGGGCCAGAGCAACACAGCCGAAAAAUUGCAACUUGUGAUUUUCUUCUGUUUGAAUCCCCCCCAUGUUGUCCUGUUUACAAGUUAACCUAAGUUGGGGUAUCUGUCAUGGGUCUUCCUGUUUUGUAUUUAAAUUCUAAAAUAUCAGCAAGCUGUUCCCUGAGUAGUGUUGCUGCCUGUGUGUGCGGUGCCGGCCCCGCGGCACGCACUUUAGUAAGUUAUCAACUCACGCUGUGAACCUGCCAACCUGCUGUAACAACUCUGCUUUAAAAUCAAAACCAAACGAAACUUUAAAAAGAAAAAAAAAAGUGUGUGUGAUCCAGCUUUUCCUCGUCAUCCUACGUGCAUGCCCGUAAGAUCGGUUGGAUAUUAAACCAUCAAUAAAGUUUCAUGAGAUUUGAAAACAAAGUUUUUGUAGCUUCGAUAUCUAAGACAGGUGAUCAUGGUUUGGGAGAGAAAGAAAAGCAAAGGGCGAGGAGGGGAAGGGAGAGAAACUGCUGAACUGGUGAGAAGAGAAACUGUUCUUCUUUCACCAGACCCCUUUCUUUGAGUAGGGAGAGACAGGUCCAGAGGGAACCAUUUGACAACAUCACGUUCCCACUUCCCUGGCCUGCUACAGCGUGCACCUGGUUGAUGUUAUCCAAGGCAACAAUUUAUCAUGAUGCUGUAGCAUUCAACCCCAGAUGGGGUCAAGAUAGUAAUAGAAAAGGGGGCUGCAAAAAGAUCAACAGACUCCUCCCAGUCGCCCCAGAUUUUCAAGCCCAGAACCUGCAUUGUGUAUGAAAUCACAAACAUGGAAUUCUUACUGUGCUGGCUAAAGUAAAACUCAUUUGCGGUUUUGAUUUCCAUCAAUGAACUGUACUUUCCCCUACGAUCGUAUGUAGUUUUAAUAAAAAUCAUUUAGAGCAAGUGGGUGCCAAUCGGUGUCGCAGAACCUUUUGUCUAGGCACUCCACUGAGCUGCCGAUAAGUCGUUUUAAACUGUCAUGUCAGAGGUGUAAACAAACAUUUUGGAUUUUUUAAAACAACAGUAUUUAUUUGGAAUGUUUUCAUUUAUCUAAAUAACUAUUGCUAUUAUGAAUUAUGGAAAAAAAGAUUAAUGUGGCAUAUAGUGACUUCUUAACACACAUCACUCAAUCUGCAAACCCAGAAAAUGUGUAUAUCUGUCUUUAGAAAUUAGUGUUUAUAUCACUUACAGUGGUUUGUGAAUAAAGAAAACUGGUUUGUAAUAUC